rnacentral:rRNA from 1 species
GACGUAGGGGGCCAGCGUUGCUCGGAAUUACUGGGCGUAAAGGGUUCGUAGGCGGUGUGGCAAGUCGGAAGUGAAAUCUCAGGGCUUAGCCCUGAGGCUGCUUCUGAAACUGCCGUGCUAGAGUGCGAGAGAGGCGAGUGGAAUUGCAGGUGUAGCGGUGAAAUGCGUAGAUAUCUGCAGGAACACCCGUGGCGAAGGCGGCUGGCUGGAUCGCAACUGACACUGAGGAACGAAAGCUAGGGGAGCAAACAGG